GCCCCGGUAGCUCAGCUGGACAGAGCAAUGGAUUCCUAAUCCAUAGGUCGGAGGUUCGAACCCUCUCCGGGGCACCA
rnacentral:tRNA from 1 species